GGGGCCAUAGCUCAGUUGGGAGAGCGCCUGCCUUGCACGCAGGAGGUCGUCGGUUCGAUCCCGUCUGGCUCCA
rnacentral:tRNA from 1 species